rnacentral:rRNA from 1 species
AUUGAACGCUGGCGGCAGGCCUAACACAUGCAAGUCGAGCGGAUGACGGGAGCUUGCUCCUUGAUUCAGCGGCGGACGGGUGAGUAAUGCCUAGGAAUCUGCCUGGUAGUGGGGGACAACGUUUCGAAAGGAACGCUAAUACCGCAUACGUCCUACGGGAGAAAGCCGGGGACCUUCGGGCCUUGCGCUAUCAGCUGAGCCUAGGUCGGAGUAGCUAGUUGGUGGGGUAAUGGCUCACCAAGGCGACGAUCCGUAACUGGUCUGAGAGGAUGAUCAGUCACACUGGAACUGAGACACGGUCCAGACUCCUACGGGAGGCAGCAGUGGGGAAUAUUGGUCAAUGGGCGAAAGCCUGAUCCAGCCAUGCCGCGUGUGUGAAGAAGGUCUUCGGAUUGUAAAGCACUUUAAGUUGGGAGGAAGGGCAGUAAGCGAAUACCUUGCUGUUUUGACGUUACCGACAGAAUAAGCACCGGCAAACUCUGUGCCAGCCGCCGCCGUAAAAC